rnacentral:rRNA from 1 species
UAAGGAAUAUUGGUCAAUGGGCGGAAGCCUGAACCAGCCAUGCCGCGUGCAGGAAGACGGCCCUACGGGUUGUAAACUGCUUUUACAGGGGAAUAAACCUUGGUACGUGUACCAAGCUGAAUGUACUCUGAGAAUAAGGAUCGGCUAACUCCGUGCCAGCAGCCGCGGUAAUACGGAGGAUCCAAGCGUUAUCCGGAUUUAUUGGGUUUAAAGGGUGCGUAGGUGGCCUGUUAAGUCAGGGGUGAAAGACGGUAGCUCAACUAUCGCAGUGCCCUUGAUACUGAUGGGCUUGAAUGAACUAGAGGUAGGCGGAAUGUGACAAGUAGCGGUGAAAUGCAUAGAUAUGUCACAGAACACCAAUUGCGAAGGCAGCUUACUAUGGUUUUAUUGACACUGAGGCACGAAAGCGUGGGGAUCAAACA